GUAACGGCGAGUGAAGCGGCAACAGCUCAAAUUUGAAAUCUGGCUCCUUCGGGGUCCGAGUUGUAAUUUGCAGAGGAUGCGUCGGGUACGGGUCCCUACCGAGUUCCCUGGAACGGGACGCCAUAGAGGGUGAGAGCCCCGUCUGGUAGGAUACCCAGCCCAUGUGACGCUCCCUCGACGAGUCGAGUAGUUUGGGAAUGCUGCUCUAACGGGAGGUAUACUCCUUCCAAAGCUAAAUACCGGCUGGAGACCGAUAGCGCACAAGUAGAGUGAUCGAAAGAUGAAAAGCACUUUGAAAAGAGAGUCAAACAGCACGUGAAAUUGUUAAAAGGGAAGCACUCGCUACCAGACUUGGGUUUGGCGGUUCAACCGGGGCCACGCCCCGGGGCAUUCCGCCAGCUCAGGCCAGCAUCAGCUUUCCGUCGGGGGUAAAGACGUCGGGAAUGUGGCUCCCCUUCGGGGGAGUGUUAUAGCCCGGCGUGUCAUACCCUUCGGGGGGCUGAGGUACGCGCUUCUGCAAGGAUGCUGGCGUAAUGGUAGCUAGUGACCCGUCUUGAAACACGGACCAAGGAGUCAACCUUAUGUGCGAGUGCCCGGGCGUAAAACCCCAGCGCGGAAUGAAAGUGAACGUAGGUGAGAGCUUCGGCGCAUCACCGACCGAUCCUGAUGUCCUCGGACGGAUUUGAGUGAGAGCAUAUAGGGUUGGACCCGAAAGAAGAUGAACUAUGCGUGUGUAGGGUGAAGCCAGAGGAAACUCUGGUGGAGGCUCGCAGCGGUUCUGACGUGCAAAUCG
rnacentral:misc_RNA from 1 species